GUGGGGAAUAUUGGACAAUGGGGGGAACCCUGAUCCAGCAAUGCCGCGUGUGUGAAGAAGGCCUGCGGGUUGUAAAGCACUUUCGGUGGGGACAAAAAGCGCCGUGCCAACACCACGGUUUUUGAUUUAACCCAUAGAAGAAGCACCGGCUAACUCUGUGCCAGCAGCCGCGGUAAUACAGAGGGUGCGAGCGUUAAUCGGAAUUACUGGGCGUAAAGCGCACGUAGGCGGCGUGAUAAGUUGGAUGUGAAAUCCCCGGGCUUAACUUGGGAAUUGCAUUCAAGACUGUCUCGCUGGAGUCUGGGAGAGAGAAGUGGAAUUCCAGGUGUAGCGGUGAAAUGCGUAGAUAUCUGGAGGAACAUCAGUGGCGAAGGCGGCUUCUUGGCCCAAAACUGACGCUGAGGUGCGAAAGCGUGGGGAUCAAACAGGAUUAGAUACCCUGGUAGUCCACGCUGUAAACGAUGAGAACUAGACGUUGGAGGGAUUAGCCUUUCAGUGUCG
rnacentral:rRNA from 1 species